AACGCGAAGAACCUUACCUGGGCUCGAAAUGUAGUGGAAUCGGGUGGAAACAUCCGCGUCUCGCAAGAGACUGCUAUAUAGGUGCUGCAUGGCUGUCGUCAGCUCGUGUCGUGAGAUGUUGGGUUAAGUCCCGCAACGAGCGCAACCCUUAUCCCUAGUUGCUACCGGGUCAAGCCGAGCACUCUAGUGAAACUGCCUCGGAUAACGAGGAGGAAGGUGGGGAUGACGUCAAGUCCUCAUGGCCUUUAUGUCCAGGGCUACACACGUGCUACAAUGGUCGGUACAAACCGUCGCAAACCCGCGAGGGGGAGCUAAUCGGAAAAAGCCGACCUCAGUUCGGAUUGGAGUCUGCAACUCGACUCCAUGAAGCUGGAAUCGCUAGUAAUCGCGGAUCAGAACGCCGCGGUGAAUACGUUCCCGGGCCUUGUACACACCGGCUAC
rnacentral:rRNA from 1 species